rnacentral:rRNA from 1 species
GACGAACGCGGGCGGCGGGCUGAACACAGGCAAGUCGAACGGAAAGGCCCUGCUUUUGUGGGGUGCUCGAGUGGCGAACGGGUGAGUAACACGUGAGUAACCUGCCCUUGACUUUGGGAUAACUUCAGGAAACUGGGGCUAAUACCGGAUAGGAGCUCCUGCUGCAUGGUGGGGGUUGGAAAGUUUCGGCGGUUGGGGAUGGACUCGCGGCUUAUCAGCUUGUUGGUGGGGUAGUGGCUUACCAAGGCUUUGACGGGUAGCCGGCCUGAGAGGGUGACCGGCCACAUUGGGACUGAGAUACGGCCCAGACUCCUACGGGAGGCAGCAGUGGGGAAUAUUGCACAAUGGGCGGAAGCCUGAUGCAGCAACGCCGCGUGCGGGAUAACAGCCUUCGGGUUGUAAACCGCUUUCGCCUGUGACGAAGCGUGAGUGACGGUAAUGGGUAAAGAAGCACCGGCUAACUACGUC